rnacentral:ncRNA from 2 species
AGUAAGGAUAGAGGUGCAAAUUCCAAGAGUACGCAUGUGAAGGAGAAUGAGAUCCUGUGAAACAUGAGGAAAGGGGUUUUUGCCGAAGCUGACGGAAGCUCAUAUUCCCGAUGCUGGUUCUGAUGCUUAAGAGGUGCAGGACUGUCAUAUAGGAGACUAUAUGGAGGGCUAUCUUAAUG